AACUUUGGUGAACCAAGUGCUUUUCAAAACAGGAAAGGCCUGACAGUGUUGUAAGUUGAAGUCACUCCACUGAAAUCAACAGAAUAACACCAAAGCAGCUGAAGAGUGAUGGUUCUGCCUUGGUUGGGAGUGACUAUAGACUGAAAACUGAUGAGGCUGGGGCUCUUGAUACCCACCUCCAAGCAAUGACUUCAGGAUAGCCCUAUCAAAAUGGGCAUCCUAUGUGGAAGACUUUACCAAAAGAACAGUAACUUGAAAGUCUGUGGACCAAAC